rnacentral:rRNA from 1 species
CCUACGGGAGGCAGCAGUGGGGAAUAUUGCACAAUGGGGGAAACCCUGAUGCAGCAACGCCGCGUGAGUGAGGAAGUAUUUCGGUAUGUAAAGCUCUAUCAGCAGGGAAGAAAAUGACGGUACCUGAGUAAGAAGCCCCGGCUAACUACGUGCCAGCAGCCGCGGUAAUACGUAGGGGGCAAGCGUUAUCCGGAUUUACUGGGUGUAAAGGGAGCGUAGACGGCAGUGCAAGUCUGGAGUGAAAGGCGGGGGCUCAACCCCCGGACUGCUCUGGAAACUGUACGGCUGGAGUGCAGGAGAGGUAAGUGGAAUGCCUAGUGUAGCGGUGAAAUGCGUAGAUAUUAGGAGGAACACCAGUGGCGAAGGCGGCUUACUGGACUGUAACUGACGUUGAGGCUCGAAAGCGUGGGGAGCAAACAGGAUUAGAUACCCUGGUAGUC